UAGGGAAUCUUCGGCAAUGGACGAAAGUCUGACCGAGCAACGCCGCGUGAGUGAAGAAGGUUUUCGGAUCGUAAAACUCUGUUGUUAGAGAAGAACAAGGGUGAGAGUAACUGUUCACCCCUUGACGGUAUCUAACCAGAAAGCCACGGCUAAAUACGUGCCAG
rnacentral:rRNA from 1 species